CUACGGGGCGCUGCAGUGGGGAAUAUUGCACAAUGGGCGCAAGCCUGAUGCAGCAACGCCGCGUGAGUGAAGAAGGCCUUCGGGUCGUAAAACUCUGUCCUAAGGGAAGAAUAAUGACGGUACCUUAGGAGGAAGCCCCGGCUAACUACGUGCCAGCAGCCGCGGUAAUACGUAGGGGGCAAGCGUUAUCCGGAAUCACUGGGCGUAAAGGGUGCGUAGGCGGCCUGUCAAGUCAGAAGUGAAAGGCUAUGGCUCAACCAUAGUAAGCUUUUGAAACUGAUGGGCUUGAAUACAGGAGAGGUAAGUGGAAUUCCUAGUGUAGCGGUGAAAUGCGUAGAGAUUAGGAGGAACACCAGUGGCGAAGGCGACUUACUGGACUGUUAUUGACGCUGAGGCACGAAAGCGUGGGGAGCGAACAGGAUUAGAUACCCUAGUAGUC
rnacentral:rRNA from 1 species